CCUACGGGGAGCAGCAGUCGAGAAUCAUUCACAAUGGGGGAAACCCUGAUGGGGCGACGCCGCGUGGGGGAAUGAAGGUCUGCGGAUUGUAAACCCCUGUCAUGUGGGAGCAAAUUAAAAAGAUAGUACCACAAGAGGAAGAGACGGCUAACUCUGUGCCAGCAGCCGCGGUAAUACAGAGGGCUCAAGCGAUGUUCGGAAUCACUGGGCGUAAAGCGUGCGUAGGCUGUUUCGUAAGUCGUGUGUGAAAGGCGCGGGCCCAACCCGCGGACGGCACAUGAUACUGCGAGACUAGAGUAAUGGAGGGGGAACCGGAAUUCGCGGUGUAGCAGUGAAAUGCGUAGAUAUCGAGAGGAACACUCGUGGCGAAGGCGGGUUCCUGGACAUUAACUGACGCUGAGGCACGAAGGCCAGGGGAGCGAAAGGGAUUAGAUACCCGAGUAGUC
rnacentral:rRNA from 1 species